CCUACGGGGGGCUGCAGUAGGGAAUCUUCCGCAAUGGACGAAAGUCUGACGGAGCAACGCCGCGUGAGCGAAGAAGGCCUUCGGGUCGUAAAGCUCUGUUGUUAGGGAAGAACAAGUACGAGAGUAACUGCUCGUACCUUGACGGUACCUAACCAGAAAGCCACGGCUAACUACGUGCCAGCAGCCGCGGUAAUACGUAGGUGGCAAGCGUUGUCCGGAAUUAUUGGGCGUAAAGCGCGCGCAGGCGGUCCUUUAAGUCUGAUGUGAAAGCCCACGGCUCAACCGUGGAGGGUCAUUGGAAACUGGGGGACUUGAGUGCAGAAGAGAAGAGUGGAAUUCCACGUGUAGCGGUGAAAUGCGUAGAGAUGUGGAGGAACACCAGUGGCGAAGGCGACUCUUUGGUCUGUAACUGACGCUGAGGCGCGAAAGCGUGGGGAG
rnacentral:rRNA from 1 species